rnacentral:rRNA from 1 species
UACGGGGCAGCAGUGGGGAAUAUUGCACAAUGGGCGAAAGCCUGAUGCAGCUAUGCCGCGUGUAUGAAGAAGGCCUUAGGGUUGUAAAGUACUUUCAUCGGGGAGGAAAAAACAAAACUAAUAAUUUUAUUUCUUGACGUUACCCGAAAAAGAAGCACCGGCUAACUCCGUGCCAGCAGCCGCGGUAAUACGGAGGGUGCUAGCGUUAAUCAGAAUUACUGGGCGUAAAGAGCACGUAGGUGGUUUUUUAAGUCAGAUGUGAAAUCCCUGGGCUUAACCUAGGAACUGCAUUUUGAAACUGAAAUACUAGAGUAUCGUAGAGGGAGGUAGAAUUCUAGGUGUAGCGGUGAAAUGCGUAGAUAUCUGGAGGAAUACCUGUGGCGAAAGCGGCCUCCUAAACGAAUACUGACACUGAGGGUGCGAAAGCGUGGGGAGCAAACAGGGAUUAGAUACC